GACGAACGCUGGCGGCGUGCUUAACACAUGCAAGUCGAACGGAAAGGCCCUGCUUUUGUGGGGUGCUCGAGUGGCGAACGGGUGAGUAACACGUGAGUAACCUGCCCUUGACUUUGGGAUAACUUCAGGAAACUGGGGCUAAUACCGGAUAGGAGCUCCUGCUGCAUGGUGGGGGUUGGAAAGUUUCGGCGGUUGGGGAUGGACUCGCGGCUUAUCAGCUUGUUGGUGGGGUAGUGGCUUACCAAGGCUUUGACGGGUAGCCGGCCUGAGAGGGUGACCGGCCACAUUGGGACUGGGAUACGGCCCGGAGUCCUACGGGAGGCAGCAGUGGGGAAUAUUGCACAAUGGGCGGAGGCCGGAUGCAGCAACGCCGCGUGCGGGAUGACGGCCUUCGGGUUGUAAACCGCUUUCGCCUGUGACGAAGCGUGAGUAACGGUAAUGGGUAAAGAAGCACCGGCUAACUACGU
rnacentral:rRNA from 1 species